rnacentral:rRNA from 1 species
UACGUAGGGUGCAAGCGUUAAUCGGAAUUACUGGGCGUAAAGCGUGCGCAGGCGGUUAUGCAAGACAGAGGUGAAAUCCCCGGGCUCAACCUGGGAACUGCCUUUGUGACUGCAUAGCUAGAGUACGGUAGAGGGGGAUGGAAUUCCGCGUGUAGCAGUGAAAUGCGUAGAUAUGCGAUGGAACACCGAUGGCGAAGGCAAUCCCCUAGACCUGUACUGACGCUCAUGCACGAAAGCGUGGGGAGCAAACAGG